GUGACUGUAGUUCAGCUGGUUAGAGCGUCAGAUUGUGGUUCUGAAUGUCGUGGGUUCGAAUCCCAUCAGUCACCCCA
rnacentral:tRNA from 1 species